ACACAUAAAACUAGCCAGUACAA
rnacentral:misc_RNA from 1 species